UACGGGGGGAGCAAGCGUUGUUCGGAUUUACUGGGCGUAAAGGGCGCGUAGGCGGCCAGCACAAGUCAGUUGUGAAAUCUCCGAGCUUAACUCGGAAAGGUUAACUGAUACUGUGCGGCUAGAGUGCAGAAGGGGCAACUGGAAUUCUUGGUGUAGCGGUGAAAUGCGUAGAUAUCAAGAGGAACACCUGCGGCGAAGGCGGGUUGCUGGGCUGACACUGACGCUGAGGCGCGAAAGCUAGGGGAGCGAACAGG
rnacentral:rRNA from 1 species